GACUCUCGCAACGGAUAUCUCGGCUCACGCAUCGAUGAAGAACGUAGCAAAAUGCGAUACUUGGUGUGAAUUGCAGAAUCCCGUGAACCAUCGAUUUUGAACGCAAGUUGCGCCCGAAGCCAUUCGUUGAGGGCACGUCUGCCUGGCUCACG
rnacentral:rRNA from 11 species